AAAAGCUUUUGGCAAGGGCAAUAGAUGUAAAUGAUGUACCUUGAUGGAACUGUACACUGAAGAAAGUCUACCAUCUUCUGAGCGUGCUGCUUCGAAGAAUAAUAAAAAUCCAGGCCAUCUGAAAGAAAAAAAUAAGAAAGCCUGAUGAACAUACCUAUGCAAUGCAUCUGAGAAGAACAUUCUUCUAGUUACCCAUACAUAGCUAUUAAUACAAGCAACAUAAUCCAGGUUUGUCUGCUCUACCUCCAGAUUAACAAGGCAUCUCGCUUACCGUGGAUUUCCUUGAUGCGAAGUGUAUUUUGAUGAAGCCUGUGUUUUAAAAUCAGCUGCUCCAAAUAGUAGAAAGUCUUUUUGUGCAGAGUCUUUUGCCUGACUUGAACUACAGCUUUCCAGAAAUCCUUAGCUUCAAUCCUAUGACAGUCUUCACACAUCUGCGACUGAAUCAGAUAUUCCACCACAAACACUUGCUGAAGAACUGCUCCAUUUAUC
rnacentral:lncRNA from 1 species